rnacentral:rRNA from 1 species
UACGGGGGGGGCUAGCGUUGUUCGGAAUUACUGGGCGUAAAGGGCGUGUAGGCGGUCGCCUAAGUCAGACGUGAAAUCCCCAAGCUUAACUUGGGAACUGCGUCUGAUACUGGGUGGCUUGAGUUCGGGAGAGGAAUGUGGAAUUCCAGGUGUAGCGGUGAAAUGUGUAGAUAUUCGGAAGAACACCAGUGGCGAAGGCAGCGAACUGGCCCUAUAUUGACGCUCAGGCACGAAAGCAUGGGGAUCAAACAGG